ACCACUACUCAUUAGCACCUAUACUGGAAUAUCCUCAGGCAAAAAGAAGCAAGAGUGAGCAAUACACUGCCCUUGAAGAAUGACAUGUGAAUAAAUCUAAUGUGGGAAGUGUCAGAAGAGUUUGAAAAACCAAACAGCUGCAGUUUAAAAGAAGAGACCCUAUAUUAGGGCACAGAAAGAGGGCAAAGGCAGAGUUGGGAACAUAUGCUCGGUAACUGAGAUCUUGCUUCUUGUUUUAUUAAGAAGAUUGAAGCCAUCAAAGAUGGUGUCAACUCUGUCUUCCUGAUCAUUAAUGAAGACAUUAAAUAAGAACAGGCCUAACACCAGCCCCUGAAGAAUUCCAGAAGACACCUCUCUGAAACUCAGUGCCAUUUAUCAUUAUUCUUUGUUUACAGCCCUUCUGGCAAUUUUGAGCUAAUGCAAAUCAAUAUCCAUGCCAAAUUCAAAUGAAGUACAAAUACUAUUAUUUUUAAUUCUAGUAUCUUACAUUUCAUAGUAAAUAAAAAUGAUCGUUUAAUACAGCAUCAUUGUAUCUGAGAGAAAAACAGCUUAAUAGACAGAGCAAUGGCUUUGGAGUUAAAAAAACUGAGUUUGAGUCUCUGCUCUGUUAUUUACUAUUUGUGUGAAUUUGGGCAAGACAAUUAACAGAUAAAGAAAAAGACACAACAGCUUGGGACCUCAGUUAACUCAUAUGUAAAAUGAGAUGGUUGGUUUAAGCAACUUCAAAUGUGAUUUUCAACUCUAAAUCUAUCACUUUGUGAUCAGCUGGUUUGAAUUGGAAAUGGAUAUAGAAAUACACACUAAUGUCAUUAAUUGGAUAUGUGAAAACAGGAUAUGAUGCAAAACAAAGUUAUAAGGGACAGGGAGUUUCAUAGGAAUUACGCUAUAAAUGGAUGACUGCCUAACUGACAUUAUACAAUAUUAGAGGGGAAUGGUUUUAAUGCAUUAAUAAUUCUAUAAAAAAUUUAUUGGUUGAAAAAAGUGUUAGGUGGAAUAUGACUGACUCAUUAUUUACUUAUUUUUAAUAAUAUUUGGGAAAAGCCAGUUACUUGUGUGGUUGGAGAAACAAUUCAGAUGAGAAAGGAAAAAGGGAAUUAUCUAAAAGGAUCAACCCGGAUUCACAGAGAACUUACUAAGUCAAAUUUAAAAGGUAUAUUUAAGUAUGUCUUUGUGAGAGUAUAACUUGAUCUUGUAAAAAUAGUGUCAGGAGUAAAAAUAAAUCUCAGAAUGAACUGAAGCUUGCAAAGAAAACUAAACAUUUUUUUAAGCCAUAUUAAGGAAAAGAAGAAGAUUGAAGAAAGCAAGGACUGCAGCUUGGGAUGAAAAGGACAAUGAUAACUGAUAAAGAGAAAAAAACCCACUCAAUUCCAGUUUUAUUUCUCGUUUCUUUGCCCAAGAUAAAAUAUUUUUUGAGUUAGAAAGAACUGAAGAAAAAUGGCUAAUACAAAUCUAUGCUUACGAGAGCUAAGACAAUUGUAAGAGAUCAUCUAACAGCCCUUGAUGAAUUCAAGUCCGUCAGCCCAGAUGAACAAUAUUCUUGAAAUAUAAUUACUGAACUACUGUUAGUGAUAGCUGAAAUAUCAUAGAGGUGUUACAUGCCCGAGUCCUUCAAACCAGAUUAAAAUGUAGUUGGGAAAUAUUUAAUAAAAUAGAAUAAAAGUACAAUACAACAUAGGUAAUUCUAGUUUGCGAUUUUCUAAAUGAAUAUGUGGCCUGCAGGAAAGAAUCAGUUUGGCUUUAGCAACAACA